rnacentral:rRNA from 1 species
UACGUAGGUGACAAGCGUUAUCCGGAAUUACUGGGCGUAAAGCGCACGCAGGCGGCGCGGUAAGUCUGAUGUGAAAUCUCCCGGCUUAACUGGGAGGGGUCAUUGGAAACUGCCGAGCUUGAGGCGAUGAGAGGGGUGUAGAAUUCCCGGUGUAGUGGUGGAAUGCGUAGAUAUCGGGAGGAAUACCAGUGGCGAAAGCGGCAUCCUGGCAUUAGCCUGACGCUCAUGUGCGAAGGCGUGGGGAGCGAACGGG